rnacentral:misc_RNA from 1 species
UAUACAUUACAUUUCAAAUAUAACACUUGCAAUUAUGUUACAUCAUGUUGAGAUUGAGAUCACAUAAUUAUAUACAUCAUUUUCAAAUUUGGACCAACUAUAACAUGUACUAUAUCUUAUAAAAUAAUACAAUCUCAAAUAUUUAGUAUCAAGCUAUAACAAGAUAACGUUUGUAAAAAAUAACACUAUUUAUCAUAACUAACAGCUCCAGUCUUUUAAAAGACUACUCUUUUUUUAUUAUUAGUAUAUUAACUUAAGAAACGAUCGAGCGGAACUUAGAAAUAUCAUUAAAAAUAAGAAAUAUUACUAAGUUGCAAGACUAUAAAUUUUUUAAUCUUUAUCUUUUUUUUCACAAUAAAAAAUCCAUGAAUUUUAGCCAUGGCAAAGGUAUCUUGGUAGUUGUAUCAGCUUGUUUUCCACAACUCAAAGACGACGUCGUCGAGGCAACAUUUUUUGGGCACAUAAAAAAAUUUCUUGAUCCCAAUGCAUUGAGAUUUUCUUCCCUCUCCAAACUUUCUAAGCUGAACUGCGAGUAAUGAAGAUCG